CUGAUUUGUUUUGUUGGUAUUUUCUUCUAAAACUGUGCUUUAAAAUGAACAUUUUGUGUCCAUUUUAGCUUUAAAUCAUUGCUCCAAACCUGAUUAAUUUAAAGCAGAAUCCAAAGUAAGAACAAGCUGUUUGUUUGCAUUUGAAGAGGUCUUUAAUGCAUUGUUGUUUCAAAGAUGAAAUCAAUAGUGUGGAAACAAGUUUUGCAUUUUUAAUGUGAGCAACUACCACUCUUUUAAAAUCAAUUUAACAUAUAUUUAUAAACUCUUGCAGCAGGUAGAAUUGUGUUGUUGUUCUUAAAACUUGUUAAACCUUUAGGAAACUUACAUUAACAACAGGGAAAUGAUGUAAAUAUCUAAUUGUUUUAAAUGUUUUCCAACAUCAGUAAAAAAAAAAAAAAAGCAAAGAUCAAAUAUUUUAUUUCAUGUGAUGUGUUUUGUUAAGGCAUUGGAGGAAAAAAAUGAAUUUUUGGUUGUAUGAAAGUAGUAAAUUACAUUUAACCAACCAUCAUCCGGGCUGCAUAAAUUAGAGGAAAUAAAGCACAAAAUGAAUUAAAUAAAAUUCCACUUCCUGGUUUGAUGAGAGUGUAAUUUUUCAAGCAAACUAAAAUACAAAUUAGUUUUUCUUUUCCAUGUUUUUCAGCUCAUGUUUAAAAUUUGAGGCCUUCAAAAUAAAACUGAAAAAGUUCCUUGAUACUGUUGCCUUUUCACUCUGAUUAAUUAAAGGUUGGUUGAGAGAAACAAAAGUCCAGAAUCUGAUCCUUUGAUGCUCCCGAGGCUCAGAAGUCGUCUCACUGAAGGGAAAGCUGUGUCUCUGUGUGUUUCUGCUCCAUAGUCUCACCUAAAGGGAGACAGAUUGUCUCGCAGGUUUUGGGGGCUUCUGAAGCACUGUUUACUGCGCUCAGGAGUGAGAGCUGGGCUUGUUUUCAGACUAAACAUUCCCAGCGUGGCUGUGACAUUUGAAAUGUAAAACUUAACCCCUGGAUCUGUUUUCUGCGCCUCACGCAGACGGGCAGCAGUCUGCUUGGUUGGGCUCAUCGUGUCUGUCUUUAAGGGGUUUAAAAAAUAAUUUAUCUCAGUUAAAGGCGAAAGCAGUGAAGCCCUCUGUUCCUAAUAUGUUGAUCUGUGCAUAAAUGCUGAAAUAACUUCACUUCUGUUCUGAUCUUGUCACAUCUUUGAAAUAAAACGUGCAGGUUAAACUCCAAAA